GAUGAACGCUGGCGGCGUGCUUAACACAUGCAAGUCGAACGGGGAAUAUUUCAUUGAGACUUCGGUGGAUUUGAUCUAUUUCUAGUGGCGGACGGGUGAGUAACGCGUGGGUAACCUGCCUUAUACAGGGGGAUAACAGUCAGAAAUGGCUGCUAAUACCGCAUAAGCGCACAGAGCUGCAUGGCUCAGUGUGAAAAACUCCGGUGGUAUAAGAUGGACCCGCGUUGGAUUAGCUAGUUGGUGGGGUAACGGCCCACCAAGGCGACGAUCCAUAGCCGGCCUGAGAGGGUGAACGGCCACAUUGGGACUGAGACACGGCCCAGACUCCUACGGGAGGCAGCAGUGGGGAAUAUUGCACAAUGGGGGAAACCCUGAUGCAGCGACGCCGCGUGAAGGAAGAAGUAUCUCGGUAUGUAAACUUCUAUCAGCAGGG
rnacentral:rRNA from 1 species